GACGAACGCUGGCGGCGUGCUUAACACAUGCAAGUCGAACGGAAAGGCCCUGCUUUUGUGGGGUGCUCGAGUGGCGAACGGGUGAGUAACACGUGAGUAACCUGCCCUUGACUUUGGGAUAACUUCAGGAAACUGGGGCUAAUACCGGAUAGGAUCUCCUGCUGCAUGGUGGGGGUUGGAACGUUUCGGCGGUUGGGGAUGGACUCGCGGCUUAUCAGCUUGUUGGUGGGGUAGUGGCUUACCAAGCCUUUGACGGGUAGCCGGCCUGAGAGGGUGACCGGCCACAUUGGGACUGAGAUACGGCCCAGACUGCUACGGGAGGCAGCAGUGGGGAAUAUUGCACAAUGGGCGGAAGCCUGAUGCAGCAACGCCGCGGGCGGGAUGACGGCCUUCGGGUUGUAAACCGCUUUCGCCUGUGACGAAGCGUGAGUGACGGUAAUGGGUAAAGAAGCACCGGCUAACUACGUG
rnacentral:rRNA from 1 species